rnacentral:rRNA from 1 species
AACGGGGUGUUAGGGCACGACACCGGAGAGGGAGCCUGAGAAACGGCUACCACAUCCAAGGAAGGCAGCAGGCGCGCAAAUUACCCAAUCCCGACACGGGGAGGUAGUGACAAUAAAUAACAAUACAGGGUUCUUUAGGAUCUUGUAAUUGGAAUGAGUACAAUUUAAAUCUCUUAACGAGGAACAAUUGGAGGGCAAGUCUGGUGCCAGCAGCCGCGGUAAUUCCAGCUCCAAUAGCGUAUAUUAAAGUUGUUGCAGUUAAAAAGCUCGUAGUUGAAUCUCGGGGUUAGUAGGUUGGUCAUGCCUCUGGUAUGUACUGGUCUCACUGAUUCCUCCUUCCUGAUGAGCCGUAAUGCCAUUAAUUUGGUGUUACGGGGAAUUUGGACUGUUACUUUGAAAAAAUUAGAGUGUUUAAAGCAAGCUAACGCUUGAAUACAUUAGCAUGGAAUAAUGAAAUAGGACGUUCGAUCCUAUUUUGUUGGUUUCUAGGAUUGACGUAAUGAUUAAUAGGGAUAGUUGGGGGCAUUAGUGUUCAAUUGUCAGAGGUGAAAUUCUUGGAUUUAUUGAAGACUAACUACUGCGAAAGCAUUUGCCAAGGAUGUUUUCAUUAAUCAAGAACGAAAGUUAGGGGACCGAAGACGAUCAGAUACCGUCGUAGUCUUAACCAUAAACUAUGCCGACUAGGGAUCGG